UAAUAAGUGUUUUACUGCACUUUUUAAACAAGUACUCACCUUGUGUGCAAUGUUUGCUGUCGAGGCUGUUAUGGCGUCGCGACAGUAUAAUACCAACUUUUUUAUUGUAAAUUUUUUGUCUGAAGCUAUUUCGAAUAUAUAAUUCUAAAUA
rnacentral:misc_RNA from 1 species